AUGGAUCGCCCACCACGUCACGACAUCGACCUCAACGAGCCGCCACCGCCGUCGUUCCCGCAUGAGUUCGCUGCCCCCGUUGCUCCUCCUCCUCCGCCGCCGCCACCCGCUAACGUGCAGGCCCACCUGCUGCUGCCGCACCAUGCCCGCGAGCUAGCGCUGGCGUACCACCGUGCGGAAUCCUGGAGGUUAGCUGCUGCUACGGCCAGUGCGCCCGCGACCGCUGGUUCAUCGCUGGAGGUGCCGCCACCGCCGGUUCUCCAGUCGCCCGCUUUUGCUCCUCCGCCGCUGCGACCGCUGGUUCGCCGGUCACCCGCUUUUGCUCCUCCGCCGCUGCCGCCGCCUGUUCUCCAGUCGCCCCCUUUUGCUCCUCCGCUGCCGCCGCCACGGCCACCCCAGCUCCCGCCUCCCGCCAACGUGCAGACUCAGCUGCUGCUCGCGCACCAAGCCGGCGAGAUACCGCUGGCGCACCACCGUGGGGAAAUGUGGUGGAGGUCGGCCAUUGCGGCCGCGACGGCAGGUUCGUCGGCAGAGGGGCUACCUCCAGCGCCGGUGCAGCACCGAGGAGUAGCGGGGUGGGGCGGGAACCCGUGCGCGUCCUGCGGCCUCCCCGAGCUGCCGGGAUCCACCGUCAUCUGCGACGCCUGCGAACGUGGGUUCCACCAAGCCUGCGUCCACGUCGCGCGGCGGCCUCCGGUGGGCGUGAACGAGGGGUGGAUGUGCCCAGAGUGUGCGACAGGACCCGUGCCGCUCGACAUCUCCAGGCAUUAUGUCAGCUCCCUCUUGAUCAAUUCCUUAUGGGAUACAUUUUUUUUGAGGGAGAUCGUUCUGCGCCCGCCGCUGCGGCCUGUGGUAGAUCGCCAGACGCCACCGCCGCGGCGCCAUGAUAGCGAGUCCCGCCGUCUCAGCCCGUGUAGAUUUUCCUGCCGCGGUACCGAUCGAUGCAACAUGCCAUCAUCAUCGAGUACACGAGCCCGGCGAUCACUUGAUUUAUUCCUCCAGCAAUCGAGCCUAAAGUGA
rnacentral:rRNA from 1 species